rnacentral:misc_RNA from 1 species
AGUUACCAGCAAGGACCUUGCCACGCUCCAGCUUCAUACGAUAUCGUUGAGAAGAAAUGCAUGGGGAAGCAGAGAUGUACAGUCACCAUAUCCAACAGUAACUUUGGCCAAGAUCCAUGUCCAAAUGUUUUGAAGCGAUUGUCUGUUGAAGCUAUCUGUGCUCCAAAUAAUUUGAGGGGUUAAUUAGGGAAAAAUUUGAGAAAAUGCUAAUUUAUAUUGCAUCUAGUAAUUUAACUACACAUUACCAGCAGAAGAAGCAAGCAAGAA